UACGUAGGGGGCAAGCGUUGUCCGGAAUCAUUGGGCGGAAAGAGCGUGUAGGCGGCUCGGUAAGUCCGCUGUGAAAGUCCAGGGCUCAACCCUGGAAUGCCGGUGGAAACUGUCGAGCUAGAGUCCGGAAGAGGCGAGUGGAAUUCCUGGUGUAGCGGUGAAAUGCGCAGAUAUCGGGAGGAAUACCAGUGGCGAAGGCGGCCUUCUGGACGGAUACUGACGCUGAGGCGCGAAAGCCAGGGGAGCAAACGGG
rnacentral:rRNA from 1 species